CGAUGAGGGAAAAAAAAACAAAAAAAAAAACAAUUUACAUGAAUCAUAGUUAAAUGGCCAAUUUCUACAGUAUUUGUGUGUAAAAGAGGAAGCAAGGGGGACCUCUAUGUCUGACUAGCAAUACUGAUUGCUACUAAAAGGCCAUCAACGCUGGACUUUUAAUUUAGGUACUGCAUCCUUGGAAAGGAGGGCGAUCUGUCCAUUUCUGCGUGAGAUUAAACAGAGCCCCCCUCCGCUUUUCUUGCUCCUUCUGUCCAUCAAAGUGAAAAAUUACCGUUUAGUCUUCUUCCUUAAUCACACUGGCCGUGGAGCAAUCAGGAAAGGAAUAAUGGCUCGGCAUCUGGCUGUUCGUGCGGCGUGAGACUGGAUUGAGGUGUUCUGUGUUCCGAAUGAGGGAGAGCUGAGAUAAGAGCAUUGAAGGCACGUUGAGAUUGCCUUCAAUUAGCGUGCUCCCGGAGAGACAACGGGAACAAUGAGAUAUAGAUUGGAACGUAGCCGGACAAGAGAGAUGGCACAAGCUGGAGAACGUGUGAAAGGUUAAUGACGGUCUACUCACAAGACAGCCCUCCCAUAUUUCACCAGAUACACCCAACAUAUUCCAUGAAGCCAUGCGACUCCAGAAUGAGGCUUGGCUCACAACACGAGGGUUACUGUGACCUGCACAUCGCUAUCUGCAGCAGAGCUGCCAGACGUUCGCUUCUACAGCAUGCAGGCCGUUCACUUUGUGGGAUAUCGGAAAGGAGCCAAAUGAAAUUUCCCUCCAGAUGAGGUCUGCCUUAGUUAUUGCACCUCCACAAGUAAUGAGACUGCUUUGAAUUUUGCAUGUCUGUAUUUUUUAUUUUUUUCGUCUUGUCAUUUUGCUUUUAAUGAACGUUACCCUAUAGAUUUUCAAUGACAUCACUAUGAAUAAUGCCAGAAGUGGAUUGAUUCAAAGUUCACACAGUGCAUGCAUUUUGCAUUAUUAAAGAACAAAAUACGCAUGUGAGGUCCAGGUAUUAUUGACCACGUUCUACAGUGUAUUAUUUGUGACUUGGAGUGUGUAUGGGUUUAAAAGGCGGAUCUGGUGAGUGACAUGGGGAUCAGUGAAUGAAAGUAGAGUUACAUGUUUGUUUAUUUUGUUCCUGUUUAUUCGAUAAAGAAAGUGAACCGGCGGCUGUGUCUAUCCUUGACCGCUUACGCGGAUAUUACAAUAUGUCCUAACUAUCGGUGGUAGGCUGAAAUAAAUUAGCUAACAUCUACGCAUCACCUUGUGUCGGCGAUCGUAGACUUGCUGUUGUGUAAUACAAGUCUGCUUUGCACUUCAGCUUCUUUUUCAGUGUGAAAUAAUCCCAAACUGUCUUUUAAUUUCUUAAUAAAGUCUUUCCGCCGCCAUUGUGCCAACUUAUUUCUAUACGCACUGGUAAGUGCAGUGAAGCUUCGAGGCAGAGAUUUUGCAUUAUCGUUAUGUUUUUAAUAA